rnacentral:rRNA from 1 species
UACGUAGGCGGAAAAUUAAGUCAGUAGUGAAAUCCCACAGCUUAACUGUGGAACUGUUAUUGAUACUGGUUUUCUUGAAUAUAGUUGAGGUAGGCGGAAUGUGUAAUGUAGCGGUGAAAUGCUUAGAUAUUACACAGAACACCGAUUGCGAAGGCAGCUUACUAAACUAUGAUUGACGCUGAGGUACGAAAGCGUGGGGAGCGAACAGGAUUAGAUACCCUGGUAGUCC